ensembl:lncRNA
CAGACAUCUGUAGGCUGCACCUGGCGAUCACACCUUUGUUUUCCCCUUUCUUGCAUGCCAGUGCUCCUUCUGGCACCAAUAUCGAUCAUUUAGUGCUUCAGACUUUGAUGUCCUGUGGGUUGAUUUUGCAGUAUGGGAAGUGACAGAAAGCCCAAGUAUAAUUUGCUUUUAUUUACACAUCACUGGCAGCUGGGAGCAGCAGAAGGCAAUUCCUUGCUCAGCAGUCUCAGCCCAGCACCAGUGCCUGAUUUCCAGGGAGCCAUUUCUGCCUGAAGAAUUGAGUCUAAUCAAGGCCCAAGGCAGAGAACACACACUCCUGCUGCUUGCAAAACCAUGUUCUCCCUCAAGCAAUGCCUCUGCACGGAGCCUGGCAGACCAAUGCUAGAGGUACACGGUGUCCCUAUCUGAAGCUAAAAUAGAAGGACCAGCACAAAAAGCCUUUUGCAUGCUUUGUUUUUCUUGUAACAAACAACCGGACUUGCCAUCUCCUGAGAUACAAAAUUAUUGAAUAUAUGCAGAGAUAGUAUUGGUGGUUAUAGUCUAAAGAAACCCACAUUUAAGGUUCUGGACAGAUUGCCUUUGUGUUUAGUUUAGGGAAUAAGCAAAGGAUAACCACCCAUCCUUCAGACAAAGGGAACAGUGCAAACAUUGUGCUGAGACACCGAGUGCUGUCUUCCAGCAGUUACUGCAUGAACAACAAAAUACAUCCCUUCUAAGUGUCCAAUCUUAAAAAAAAGGCUUUCCAAAACUUACCUUUCACAAACAGUGAGAGCCCUCCAGUGCCAUCUCCAUGUGAUGCUGCUGGCACCCUAGCUGAGCUGUUUGCCGUUGCAGCCAUGCUCUGCAGGGAAAAGCAAAUGGAUGCAAUGCUUGACUGAAGGAAGGCCUUUCAGUGAUUUGGAAGACUGAGCAGAGGUGGCAGGGGGAGGAUUUCCCAGCUCUGCUGUGUAUGUUGAGGUGUGAGAGUUGUAUGUCUUCCACAACUGUUCAGAUUAAUCCUGAGACGUGACUGCACCAGAGAUCCCUGCUCUUUGUUCUUACGGACACAGACGUUUUUAAUUUCACUCUUGCAUUCUGUUAGCCACCAUGAAUUGUUCCAUCAUGGCCGAAAGGGUGAAAGCUGUUUUUCCAUCUGUGCCUGUAAGCCAUGCAAACUCUAGCUUUUGAUAUAAAUAAGCCCGAGCGACAAGAUCCAACAGAUCUCCAGAAUUUUCUGCCUUUACCAGCAUCGCUAAUUCACGCGCUAUAAAGUUAUCAGCAUAAGACUAAUAAAGCAGAGAGUUCUAUAAAAGUGGCAAGUGAGUCAUUGCAAUUGCUUCAGGCAGCGUAACCUACUUCUGCAUUCAGACACAGAUGGGAAAGAUUUACUCAUUGUCUCCAUUUUAGGUGCCUGCAAAAGAAGGCAAAGCACAAAAGGAAUCUUGCUUCCUCUCCAGUUUGUCCUCCCCUUCAACCCCAGCAGCAAAAAAAUCAAAUCAGCUCCCUUUAAAGGAGAGGGAUCUCAGUGGGACUGCACUGUAAGGCAAAAUAGACCUUUAUUAACUAAAAUUAUAUCGCAGUUUAGGGGAGAAGCAUAACAAUCUAAAGACAUUGUGAAUUUCAGAAACCCAAAAUAUAGACAUUUUAAGAUGUUUUUCAUAUUUAUUAGAUCUGGAAAAUGUGUUACUUUAGAGAUAAGGCAAAAGUUUUCAUAGUGAGAGACGUUUUCUGGCCUCUCUCUGCUCUGAUUUAAGUGAUGCAGCACCCAAGGGCUCUGCUUGUUUAUUAAAGGCAUCUGGUUUAUUUCCAGAAUAAAAAUAAAAAUUUUAAAAAAACAACCUUAAAUAAAUGCAUGGCAGAACUGGAAGGACGGGGUUAUUUAAGUCUGUGCCAUGGCUGGAGUCUGGCCCUCCCCUCUCUGAAUGUGGCUGUUGCUCACACUGGCAGCUGUGCUAACUCCUAGAGCUUCUUUACUGAGUGAGAGGCACGGAGUACAUCUACUGUGCAGUUCACAAGUGUGGUUUUAGCUUGUGCAAACAAACCUGAACGAGCUGUAAAGCAGGAACAAAACUGCCUAAAGCCAGCGGAUGAGCUCUCGGCUGCCUGAGCCCAAAGUGCCCCAGCUGUAGGCAGACGCAGGCCAGGUGGUGGGAUACCACUUUGGGUACAUCUGUAUGGGGCAGCAUGGGCCUGAGAUACCCAAGAGCUGACAGGCUUCUGACUUGUGUAUAUUGCUGCUUUCUGCCCAAAACCUUAUCCAGCUGAAUUCUGAGAAAUUGCUUUAUUUGCCUGGCAUAUUUGAGUACCCACUGUAUCUGUCACCAAUGGAAGGUGCAGUGCUUCUGCACACAGAUCGUGUCAUGCACAGUAAGGCCAACAUUGUCUCUCAACAUCUGACCAAAUGUUGUAAGGCUGCAACCUUGACUUCUUGACCUAUUCACAGCAGGAAUGGAAGCCUUGGUCAGAAGAUCCCAAGCCAGACUGGAUAUGCUGUGCCUCAGCCCCAGCAGGAGAGGAGGCCAGGAUGCUGCUCCCCAGGAACAUCAGUUUUAGAGCAGAAGCCACAUGAUUGCCCUCCGGGUGCAUUAAACACAUCAGAUUUUGGAAGCAUCAUACUUACUGUGACUGUAAUGUGGUGAUCAGCUGGGUCAAUGCCCAGCUGAGGCACACUAAUCAUAACAAGCUACUUGCUGCACUUGGGUAAGACUCCUUACUAGGGCAAAACUCCUGAUCCAUCAUAUAGAAUCAUAGAAUCGCUAAGGUUGGAAAAGACCCACGGGAUCAUCCAGGCCAACCAUUCACCCUUCACCAAUGGUUCUCACUAAACCAUGUCCCUCAACACAACAUCCAAAUGCUCUUUGAACACCACCAGGCUCGGUGACUCCACCACCUCUCUGGGCAGCCCAUUCCAGAGCCUGACCACCCUUUCAGAGAAGUAGUAUCAUAGAAUCAUAGAAUCGCUAAGGUUGUAUUUCCUAACGUCCAGCCUGAACCUUCCCUGACGCAGCUUGAAGCCAUUCCCUCUAGUCCUACCACUAGUCACACGAGAGAAGAGGCUGACCCCCAGCUCACUACAACCUCCCUUCAGGUAGUUAUAGAGAGCAAUAAGGUCCCCCCUGAGCCUCCUCUUCUCUAGACUGAACAAUCCCAGCUCCUUCAGCCGCUCUUCAUAAGGCCUGUGCUCCAGACCCCUCACCAGCUUAGUUGCCCUCCUCUGGACACGCUCCAGGGCCUCAAUGUCUUUCUUACAGUGAGGGGCCCAAAACUGGAUACAGUACUCCAGGUGCGGCCUCACCAGUGCUGAGUACAGGGGAAUAAUUACUUCCCUGUUCCUGCUGGCCACACUAUUUCUGAUACAAGCCAGGAUGCCGUUGGCCUUCUUGGCCACCUGGGCACACUGCUGGCUCAUGUUCAGUCUAGCGUCAAUCAACACCCCCAGGUCCAUUUCCUCUACACAGUCUUCCAGCCACUCUGCCCCAAGCCUGUAGCGUUGCCUGGGGUUUGUUGUGGCCAAAGUGCAGGACCCGACAUUUGGUCUUGUUGAAUCCCAUCCCAUUGGCUUCAGCCCAGCUAUCCAGCCUAUCCAGAUCCCUCUGUAGGGCCUCGCUACCCCCAGGCAGAUCAACACUUCCAGCCUGCUUGGUGUCAUCUGCAAACUCACUGAGGGUGCACUCAAUGCCCUCAUCCAGGUCAUCAACAAAGAUAUUAAAGAUAUUAAAAAUAUCUUUUCUUGAACAGACAAUGAAGAGACAGUCCAUACUCUGGGCAACUGCUACUUAAAAAUUCAUCUGCUUUUCAAAUCCCAAUAUGCCCAGUGUGGAGGGAAAGGAGAGAGGUACCUAACUGUCUUCAGAUGUGUUUCAUUUCCCCUGUCAUUUCAUGAAACCUGAAGCCAGAAUACUAUGAAAAGUGCAUUUGAGGCUUGAGUUUUCUUUCUUUUUAACAGUCUACUGCCUGCUUUUAAUGUUUACUGAGCUUUUGGCUGUAAAAAUGUAGCUGCAGCACAUGGUUGAGAGGUUUUUCUCAGUCUGUAGUCUCUGUCACAAAGGAAUUCCUCCUCCAGACUCCUUUGCCUUCCAUUCUGAGCUCCUCAGAGACCUCUGCUGCGGUCCCUGGCAGCAGAUCAAGGGGAAACAGCUUCAGUAAAAGCUCUCAUUGUAGCAACAAAACAUCAUUGAUCAACCAUGUUCAGUGCCAACAGCUUUUUGAAUCUGGCAUUUUUAAUGCCCAGUUUCUGCUUUCAUUCAAUUUUCAGGUAUCCUAUGUAAAGAAAGCCUCCUGAGAGGUUUUUUGUUGGUGUUGUUUUUGUUCCAUCCUCUGAGUUGAGUUUGAAACAAAAAUCUGCAGCUGAGUAGCCCUGAAAACAUCAGUCCAAAUCCAUUUCAGGCCAAGCCUGGCAGAGCCUUUUCCUGCCCUUCAUGUCUGUAGGGAAGGCAGAAGAAAAUAUGCUGAAGCACCAGCUGAAUAGUCGAACACCUGGCAGAGAGAGCUGCUCUGCUCAGCAGAGCAGCUACAGCACAGGCAGUCAACAGCUGCAGGAGAAAGGCAGCGACAUCAAGAUGCACUCCAUUGAAAACUGGUAAUUGAUCUGUUCUGCCACGACACACUGAAACACCAUCCUUCCAUGCUGGAAUUGCAGGCAGAGUGGGAAUGACUGACUGUUAUGAAUGCUAUUUGCAGAAUACCAAUGCAGUGCCCUUUCUCCACUUAAUAGAAAUUUAGAGUUCUUCACAGGGUAAGUGACUGUGCAAUCAGAAUAAACCAAAACUCAUUCAGAAAGCUACGGUAAAUCCCAGCACCGAGCAAGGUAUCCCUCACCCGGGACCAGACAGCCAUUUAGGAGUCCCCAGUUUCCCUACACUCCUCCUGUAUCUGGCUGAAAUUCUCCACACAGGCAACUGAGCUGCCAGUGGCUGGUUCAGAGUGUUGGGCACACAGGGCUGAAGACAUCCAUAUUUGGUGGGACAGACCCUGGGUUAGUCUUCAAACUCAGGGCAAUUCUUUCAACUAAACUGGAGAUAUUCCGUUUUUAUAUCUACAUCCUUGCUGGCAGAGCUCAGCCUAUUGCAGAGAAAGAUUCUGAUCUUUCUUUCAUCCCCAUGGGACACUGACUUCAGUAAAAUACUCCAUGCUUCAUUUCCCAGUGUUGCAAAACAACUUAAUGGAUCACACACUUAGGGGAGCGUUUCCAUUAAUUUCUAGCUAACAUUCCACCUCUCAUAGCACCAAAAUGUCAGCGGCUUUAGCCUUUUCAAAGCAUUUCCUCCAAGAGCACACGAAGUAAAAAGAAGGCAACUCGCAGUCUUCCUUAGCUAGAUCCAACCUUAUGUCACCUCUGAGGAUGGCGGAAGAGUUACACAAAGCCCCUUUCACUUACCUUUCCUCUGAGCACUUAGCCCUUGAUGACUGACAUUUGUUUGUGUGUGGCCCUGAUCCUCUUCCUCUUUGCACAGAUAUCAAGCACGGAGCUUUGCUAUAGUUGACGUCAGUGGCAUUUUAUCAGCCAAAGAGCAGACAGAAGUGCAGGUACAGCUGACAGAGGAGGCAGGUUGUGCGAGCAAAAAUAUGCAUUUGCUGUUACCAAAAUGGAACUUAUGCUUGUCUCUUUGCAGCUAUAGUCCUUUGAAGCAUUACAGAACCCUGUGAUAACCUAGAUGUUAGAGACGGUAUAAUCACUUAGAGAGUUAAUGUGCAUAAACACAUAUAAAAUGAUUGUUUGCAUUAUUCUUGCACAGUCUUUGUACUGUAUUACUGCAUAAAUCAGAUCUAUUUUACUUUCAUUUGCUAAUCCUUCUACUCUUUUGGGAGCAUCUCAGUGAAUGAAUACACAUUCCAUAUCCUUACAGCCUUAAAAACAAAUGUAUGUUCACAGAUACAUCUUCGAGAAUUUUUUUGCCACAAAGCAUAUUAUUCAAUGUAAUUAUGUAAGAUGCAUGACAAAUCUGAGUGCAAAGGGGCGUGUCAGACAGCAAGUCUUAACAGGAAAACUCAAAGCUUACACAUAGGUCCUGUACUUCUUUGGUGGCAGCUGCAGUCCUCUGAAGGUCAUAAUCCGUCCUGUCUUGCUCCUGCUGGUACCCAAGAGCAUAUGGCAGCCUUUGCAUGGAUGAGACAGUCACAAGUCAUCCCCAUGCAGAAACCAGGAGAAAAAUCAGCAGGAUCAUUUGGAGCAUAUGGAUCCAACGAGGCUUGAAACCUGCCUGAGUGGAGGAGUACGGCAUGCUCAGCUGGUAGCAAACGGCUGUAUUUCUCAGAGAGGAUGAUCCUGCGAAAAGUGGGGUGGAAACUGGUGGCUCCCAGAGGGAUAAGGCUCAUGCUAGCUGGAAGUGAAGGCUACUUUAUAUAGUGAGAGGACAACCCAGAGGGAGUAUGUGAGAUGCUGCCUCAGUAUUAAGCAAUAAUUUAGCAGCCUCCUGUGGGGAAAAAUCCGUGUCACAUUAGGGAGAAGCUGCAUGGCAGACAAGAGAUGUGUUUACAAAUAUUUUUCCUUUGAUUAUUUAGAGACUUCUUGCAAAGCCACAUUGUACUUUGCUUUGGACACCACAGCAGACAAACACCGACUCAAAGGGUUCAUAAAACGCUAAAAGGGGCACGAAGCACACAUGGAAGUUCUUCUUGCAAGGCCAAAAUCCAAUGGCAGAUACAAAGUAUGUACAUAGUUUUCUUUCAUGAUAACAUAGUCCUGUCUGUGUUGGUUAUCAUGCACCCAGAGAGCUGCCUCGCAGGCACGCUGCAUCUUUUUGCCAGCCUUUGACUACAUUUAGCAUGUAGAACUGGUUCUGUACAGGCACACGUUAUAGAGGCACCAGCCCUCACCAUAUAGAACAGUUUGACAGUUCUUACUUGCUGCACUAAGGUCAGCCAUGGCUCUCUGUACAUAUUUGUAUUUCAAUCCUGGCCCAGCAGCCUUGCAGAUGGAUGCAGAGCUCACGUAUGGCAUGGACACCAGCGGUGCUGGGGAGGAGGGACUCUGUGGUGUCCAAAAGUGAUUAGCUUUACUUCCAAAAGGGGAAUUCAGAGAGAAAAUGCAUUGCAGCACUUGGUCCUGGCACUAGCUGUAAUGUAGAUGUCUGUCUGAUGGGCACUGGUCUAAGACCAACAAAAUGCGAUUCAUACAGGCCACUGAGCAGCUUCUCAUGUUAAUGACUUUUGAAUGCCAGUGGCCUGAAUUGCAUCUGUAUUUUAUUAACACUGUUUACAGAGGGAGUAGAAUUCCAGAUGGAGCAUAAAGUACCUUUUUUCUUGUUCUUCCCAUAAUUGCAAAUGCUCAAAUUGCACUUGUAGCUGUUUUAUGACUUGACAUUGACCUUACACUCUUUGCAUUUUCUACAGCGGAACACUGCAAUUUCUAGGGAGUAGAAAGGUUAUACAGAACUGGUCAAUGCUCUGUGUGAUGCAAAUAAAAAUAAAGUUGUGAGUGUUUAAGCAAGUAUUUCUUUCCAUUUGGUCUUUGAAUUUUUAUUGCUUCCAGCCAGGUCACUUGAAAUGAAAUUGUCCUUCACAGUUCAAGCUAUGGUUGUCUUACGGAUGGCAUAAAGACAGUGCUUUAAGGUCAUUAGAGCCCUGAAGAUGUUAGAGCAGUCCAGAUGAUUUGCAUCUCUAAGGGAAAGGCUUUUAUUUCUGAACUGUUCACCUAAUACUGAUUUGAAAAUGUACCUUUUUCUUCUUCUUCUCAUGAAAACGCCUGUGCCAAGAAUUAGAAAAAGCCUUACUUACAGCCUUGAUGCGUCACCUCUCCAGCAGCUCCCUGACCUGCUGCACUUUGGGUGGCAAUGAUGGCAAAGAAAGAAAGGAGCACUUUGGGCCUCAGAGCUACCAUCGAUCUCAGACAAGGUGAGGGGAAGGAGGCGGGUGCCUCAGCUCCAGAUCCGGGACCAGAUGCACCAUCUGCUUUGUACUGCACUAUCCUGAUGGGAAGACAGCCAUUUCCACUGACAGCUCUGGAGUGGAGGAGACUUUUUCCACUUUCCUGCUUGCUCCUAGUGGGGAAUGCUGUGCAGCCUCCUGGAAGUUGGAAUGCUUAUUGCGUGUGUUACUGAUGCUCCUGCACGUCCCCUGUCAGGUAGGAGUGGUGGUGCCUCUACACCUCAGCUUCCAUCUGCACCUUCCCUUUCAGCAGUGACCUUGGGGUGCGAUGGGAAAGCAUGGAAGUGCAGAUCAAAAACUCUUCAAGAAACGCAGCUAGGAAGCAAGCAGCAUACUGUAGUAUGUGGCUGCUGGAGCUGAGACACGACUGUCCUCUCUGACACGACUGCAGGGAAUCCGCGCAAUGCUUCUCAGAAAUAAUUUGUUUCUGCGCUGGAUCUACUUUUGCACAACGGGGAUACUUGCCUCUAUCAAACCGGUGGUCGAAAUCCGAGGUCGGCGCGUGCAGGAGGAGAGUGAACUUCCCGGGGAUGCCUUUAGAUGUCUCCCUUCCUCGUCUGUUCGGCGAUGACAGCAGGGGCUGGGCUGCCUGCGGGUUGGGCUGCAGAGCAGUCAGAUUGCCUCGGAGGGUAAACGAGGAUUUUUGAAAACCUUCUAAAGCAAAAGUUAAUGGAAAAGAGAGCCUCGUUGCUCACAGAUACGUCAUUACUUUCUCAGGCGUUUAUGAACAAAUAAAAUGCAUCUACUACAUGGGAGAAGAGUUCUUCCCCUGUGCCCCACGCUCCAGCCCUACCCCCAAGCAAUUGUCUUACUUAUUACAAUUUCAACAUCUCUUCUCUUUGAAGUACAACCUGUUGUUUCGUUAUAUUAUUUCCAUUCAUGCUGUGGAAAUAAAACUUACGACAGUGUCGAUUUCUCAGAUCCGCUUGUAGACUUGGAAAUUUGCAUCAGAUUAUUCUAAUCACUUAGCCUUGUUGUAUAUAUUUACACAAGCACUUUUGAUGUUUAAACAGACCAGGCUGUAAUGAGAUAGGCGCGGGGAAAUAAAUACCCCAAAGAAAAGGAAUGUUCUCUUUUUUUCAGGCCGCUUCCUAAACUAGAAAUGUUCAGCUAAAACAGUGGGUCAGUGCCUUUGGGACCUGAGGGAAUGACUCUAAGGGUGGAAGCACGGAGGGAUGGAUCUGCCUUCAGAUGCAGUGGGCAGAGAGAAGAGCAUCUGGGUGCCUGUGAGGGUGAGGAGCGUGCUGAGGACUUGUCCUUCUGUGCCCUUUGUUACAGCUGUAAGCCGCCUCCUUGGCCAUCCUGGCACAAGAAACUAUUCCACAUGAACCCUAGAUGUCAAUAUGCAGUGACACAAGUUUCUAGAGGCUGAGCAGGAAGAGGAUCAGCUCCACUGAUUUCAGUGGCAACAGUUGCAGACACAGCAAAAAGUCCUGGGACUGACUGUGGUGCAAUUGUGCUGGCUCAGCUCCAGACAUGCAGGAAGUCCUGCAGCAUUGUGUUCCUGCAGGCAGGAGGCCUGGUAAGCACAGCAGCCACACAAUCAGGUUAACUCAGUCUUGAGGCUGGCUCCAUUAGAUCAAGAACAACAGGCAAACAGAAGCAGCCCAUACAUAGCAAAUGUAGAAAAAGGUGGAGAAGUAGACCAGGUGAAGGAGAGACAGGAAUCUUAUGGACUGAAGAAGACAAGAAAUCUUACCCUAAGAUGCAGGAAAUUGCCAAUUGUUUCAUUUACAGUUCAGCUUCACAAAGGCCAGGGGAUCGUAUUUACAUUUGCAUGAUAGAACACAAAGAAUACUUGCAAUUCUUGAAAUAGCAGAAAGGGAGAACAUUCUGGAUGACCCUGUUGUUAACGUAGUCUUGAAGUGGAAUCUGGAACAAAUCAGCCAUUACACAAUAAACCACUCAAAAGACUACAAAAAACUGCGUGUCAGCACAGUUUUAAUUUUGUAACGGGAGUUAGUGAAGUUUGUGUGUAAGAACUUAAAGAAAGAAAAAGAGAAGCUUGUUCUGAGAAGAUGCACUUCCAUAAACUCAGUGACAGAUGAGAGCAGACUUUGUAACUCUCACACUGAAAGUGAUCUAUCCACUUAGACAUGCAAAUGUCAUUUUGAAUAAGUCUAACAUCUUGAAUUGUCAACGGUGGGAAGAGGUUUCUCUAAAGGCAAGUUGUAUUCUUCAGUUAUCCUAAGCUUGUAAACCAUGUAGAACCAAGGGGGAAAAAAAAGAACAAAAUUGAAAGAUUCUGCUUUACUAGCAUUUGGUGACUGAAAGAUUCCGCUUUACUAGCAUUUGGUGACUGAAAGAGCUCAUUAAGAUAACAUUUUCCACUUUAUAACCGCUUCACAAGCAAAUAUUCCUGGCAGCACUGCUCCUCUCAUACUUAGGGAUACUUUAAAGAGGAUGGCCAGGACCUUUGCCUGGGCCAGAAGAGAAGCAAGCGCAUGGCCAGUGCUGGCUGGGCAGUCUCUGAGCACAUUCCUCUGCCCUCCAUGGAUGCAGCAGCAGUAACACCCCAGGGCUUUCAUUCUAGCUGACUUGUUUUGUCUUAUUCCUAACUUGCAAGUUAUAUGCCUUGUUGCACCGGUAACUUCAUGAGACUCUGUGACCCACUUGAAGCAUGGUCAGAGACUAAUGGUCCCUCUUCACCUUAAAGGACAUGCACUUGUGAAAUGAUCAGAAGUACCAGGAGAUUCACAACUUUUCUCCUUCACAGAAGUAUGACAAGACAUAGAUAGCACACACAGUGGGAAUCAUGUCAUUUUCCCUCAGCAGCAACUGAUUCAGCAGCACCAUCUUGACCUAUGCCAGCUACUGCUUCAGCUCCUUGCCUGUAGGAGAGAGACAAAUGGACUUUGAUAGCUAUCCAACAUGAGCAGAACUCUCCCAUGGUGGACAGGUUUGGAAUACUCCAGGUCUAACAAAAUGGGAGCUCCUAUCAGUUCCACCCUGAGGUCUCAUGGAUGCCUCGAGUAGCUUUGCAGCUCCAUUGUGACAUUACACCAAUUUUCCAUCAUGACCAGCAUGAUCCUACUUGGAUAUUCCAGGUGGUGUCCUGUCCUUACCUCCUAAGGGAUAGCUCAUGUCUGACAGCAAAAGCAGAUUUCAAUGAUGUUCUUGAUUUAAAUCCAGAAAACAACAUCUUGAUGAACUCAUGCUCCUGGUUAUUAGUAGAGACUACCAGAUUGCUGCACAUCAGGGAGGGGAACUGCAUUUUCCUUCUCAACUUCUUGUAACCUAAAGGAGUAGAAAGACUGCUUUAUGCUUAUGGUCGAUAGGGUGCACGGUGUGCACAGAGAAAUCACACUUCAUCUUGCAAAUUUAUCAUACUAUUAUUCUACAGUUUUUCUACAGCUAAAACCUACAAGUUGCUAAAAUUGCUACCAUUGUUAAAUGCUACUCAGACCUGAAAUACAUCUAUAGUUAUCAAAACUGAGCUGGGAAGCCAAUGGGUAUAAGAGACCUAACUGUGAAUGUCUUGCUCCAGGUUACUUUCUGUAGUUGGUAAUAGAGAGAAAGAAAGAAAGAUUUGCAUUAGCAGUUCUGAUCCAAGCAGAACGUAGUAAAAUUGGGAAUCAUUUUCAUGUAAACACCUAAUUAAGCUUUGAGUUCUAGUUUAGUUUUGGAAGCAAGUUCUGAAGUACUUAUAACAAGGAUUAAAAGAUGUAACAAAGGGACAAGAGUCUUGAAACAGCUCCUGAAGUCAGGGUUGCUCACCUUUCUGCUUCCUGAUUAAGGCAAAGAUAACAUCUGCAAUAAACUGGAGUGAACUGAUUGAUUUGCUUGAGAAGUUUCCAAAAGCAUAAGUACCUUUUCCUGAAGCAACCUAUCGUGACAAAAAAAAAAUCCCUUUCCUCUUAAAAAAAAAAAUCACAUACAAAAUAUGCACAUUUCAGCACUUUUCCUCCCUGAGGCUUUCUCAGUCUAGGAAAAAAAAGAGAUGUUUUUUUCCAAUUGCCUGUAAAAGGUUUGCAUCUCUGCCAGGUGGUUUGCAUCUGACAGUCAAAUACUGCUGAUGAGAAUCAUCAGUUCCUUCAAGGACUUGACAUUGCAUCCAAUUUGUUUCGCAAGUGAGUGUGUAAGGAAGUGACUGCAGCUAUUAUUCUGUUAGAUUUAGUCAAAACAUCCCCAGAAGAGGUAGGAGGGCAUGCUGGGAAUUGUUUGAUGAGCCUGCUGGGAGAAUAAUUACAUGGCCAGCAGUUUGUUCACUUUAUCUUCUGUAGCACUUUCUUAGUGCCUUUUGUGUGGUUUGAGUACUCGGCUUUUUGAAUGAAAGAAUAUUUACUGCUAUUGUCUCUCCAGCUAAUUCCCAGAUUAUGCUGUCUCAGAUGUGCAUUCUGGGAUAAUUCUGUGUUACAUUAAGUAUUAUGAAAUUUAAAUAUUUUCUUCAAUAUUCUCUUCCUUACUCGAGAUGGAAUUUUCUGCACCAUAACUGUGACUGAACUGGGAAGAGUUGCCCUCUGAUUAUGAUGCUUACACAGACCAUAGGACCAAUUCUGCUGUAAUCUUGCUGCUCUGAGCAGGACGAAUGUCAAAACUUGCAACUUCAAGACAAUUUUUUGGGGUUAAAAUGGCACAUAUAAACGUUGAUUUUGUUUUUAAUGUAACGUCUUACAGCUUAAAGCUUUCAAGAGUAGCCUAGGUAGCAGGGAAACAAAGAUCUGUUAGAGUUUCAGUUUGUUUCAGCAGCUUUUGAAAAAAAUAAAUGGGUAUGAGCCCCUGGAAGACAGCAUGUGGAAGUAUUACCAAAAUAUUAAUUCUGAGGUGACAGGAAAAUCGAAAGCUAUGAAAGGAAUCACAUUUAAAACUGGAAACUGUGCUUAUUCAGCUGACUACAAGGGGGUCCAUGACAGCUGUGGGCGCCUUCUAUAAGGCAGGGAUGCAAUAAAAAAGGUGGUAAUAGCAAACCUCAUCCAGCAAUCCACCUUCCAAGAGCAGUCUGACUGCUCCUCUCUAGACCAGUUCUCUUCUCAGCUGCUGUUCCUGAUCCAGCAGACCUGUGUGUGUGUAUCCUAAGCCAUCAGUCUCACAUCUCUCUGGUGGGUGCAGUAUGUGUGCUUUUUGGCACUCCAGGAGGAAAUACAUGGCUGCACAUCCCUUGUUUUAAAUAAAUUGAAGUGAAUACAAAAGAAGGAGAAGAGAAAAGUAAAGGAUGUAAAAAUUACCAUACCAGAGCCUUUUGCUGCUAGAAAUAUGGAUAAAAAAUAUUGCUUGUGACUCCAGUGAAAUGAGCCUGCUCUUAGAAAGCCUUCUACAAUCUAUCUUGUUUGUGCACUUUAGACUUCAGAAGAACUAACCUUAUUGGAAUAGAGUUGGAAACAUUGGAUCAUUGGCCAAAGCUUUAAAGAAAAUGUUUCCUUGCUACAGAAAGAACAUUAGCAUUCUCACAAAGAAGGUUCCAUAGAAACAAGAAAUACAUUUUUACAGCAAAACUCCCUUUGAUGUGAAUCUUGAGCAAAGCACAAAAAAAAGGGCCAGUGGGAUUCUAUUUCCUUCUGUGUACGCUUUUGCAAUUCUUUUUUUUUUUUUUUUUUUUUUGCUAAUGGGCCACCUGGGAUAUUGUCUUUCUGGUGACUGAACUAAGGCACCUUAGCAGGGUGGGAGGGAUACAAAGGAUUCCUCAAAGGAACGCACUUGCUCUAAGCAGCUUCUCAGAGGGAAAUAUUUCUGUGUCUUUUACCCAUCUUUUCGGUUUCUUCACAAUGUCUCCUUCACCUUACAGUUGCACAGCAGAAGUGCAACUUGAAUUACCAGCCAGCAUCAGCUCCAGCAAUCUGCUCCUGACAGAAGCUAGUGCUGGAGAAAAAAAAUCAAGAAAUUACCUUACUGGCAACAAAGAAAUGUCAGGUUUAAAAGAAAACUGUUACACAGAGAAAUCACUUAAACUGUGAGGAAAUUGAUAAAAGAAAAAUGCCUACUGAGGAAGAACGAGGACCUUAUAAUGUGACAUGCUCAGAAAGUCACUUACAUGACUUCUGAUGUACAUUUGUCCCAGUUGAACAGAACAAGGUAUGACACUAACGUUCCUAAAAAGCUUUUUGAACAGUGUUUUAUUACAGAGAUGUCCAAAACAUGAAAUGGCACAUUAGUGAUGUAAUCAGCUUCUAACUUCAUAAAAUGAGUCUACAAAAUAUCCCUCUUUAUUUUUUUCUUUUCCUCUCUCUAGAAAAUAGCCUCUGCAUACUUUCUCUUUAUUGAUCUUUUCUAUUUCAAAGUCUAUUUGUGCAAGAUAUUUGUCAAAGCUUGUUUACUUGCUUGCAGUCCAUGGAAAUAUUACAUGAUAUUAGAAUCAAGCCAACAAUGAUUUCAUUGUCUCUCUUGAAACGUCUAUAUUUAAUAUCAGUCUCCACCACUGUUUUGGAAUAAUAGCCUUGUUUAAGGUUGGUGCUUCAGAUCAAAAAGAAAACAAAGCUUUUUGCCCUUGAGACAGUAAAACCAGAGUUUCAAAUGGAUAGGAUACACUGAAUUGGCAGCAUGCACAUUGACAGAUUAUGUAUUGAACAUGCACACAUUGAUUAAUUAUAAUACUGAUUAGACAUAUCCUCGUUAACUAGCAGCUACAUAGCUUUCACGAUUCAAAAGCAUACACUUGGAUUAACACUUACAUGGAUCUGCUUGUACAACAGGCUACCAGCCUGCUGCUAUUUUGGGAGAGGGGUGUGUAGAAACUGCAGUUGUCUUCAUGGAUUGCCUCAGAAGGGAAAAGACUUAUAAAAUAGCCAUGUUUCAGUUAUUUAGUAUUAUGUGUUGUUCUGCUUGUCUAUUUUCUUGUUUUUCUUACCAAGAUAUUAUUUGAACUAACUGGCUCACUUUUACAUGUUGGGAAAAUUAACUCACUGCACACCAGCAGACUGCUUAAUACUAGAAAGAUUAAUGGUGGAGGGUUUCCAAUUGAUUUUUCUUUCUUUAAUCAGAUAUUACCCGUUAGUGUGAUUACCAACUGACUUGUUGGUCCAAGUGAAAAAAUCAUCUGUGGUUCAGCAACGACUCAUUUAAUUUUUUUUUACUGGUCACUGUCAUUGCCAGUCCAGUCAUGAAAGAAUAGUUCUUGGCUUGGGCUGUAUGGGGCCUUCUUCAAACAUCAGUUACCCACAACCUAUUAAGCAAUAAGAAGUCAUUUCCCAGCAUAAGAGCAGGGCUACGUAUGCUUCAAUGGUAUGACAAACAAAGUCAGGUUCCUGUGCAGAGCCUUCCACAAAAUGUCCAUCCCAGAAAGGAAAGGAGUAAAUGAUUCAAGUAAAAAAAUCCAUAAACCUGCAUAACAAAGAGCCUACAAAGAGAGAAGCAACAGAAGGUGGGGGGGGGGAAGGAGUAAAGAUUCAGAGGAAACUUCAAGAAAUUACACCUUACUUACCCAUACCUAAAAACUAUAUCUGAAGCACCAUGGUAAAUAGGCAUGUCGUACACAAUGGACUCAUGCAUUCAUUCAGAUCACCUGCACAAAUUCUGCAUACACACAACGGUAUCAGUUUUGUUAAAUUAUAUUCCCUUCUGUUUUCCCUAUUUAUUUUAUCUUCCAGCUUUAGACAAGAGUAGUGGAUAACAAAAUGGACUGUGGAAUAAAUGAAACAGAUAUCUAAAGCAUUCCAAGCAAGCAAAUUAAACAAAGUAAUUUGCUGAGUUUCUUCUGAACUUUGUGCAAACCUAUGCAGAAAACAUUCUUCCUUGCUAAUCAAGGAGUGUUGCAUGUGAACCUGAGUGAUUGUUUAUAACACAAAGCAAACAGUGUCAGUAACACUUGAGACCAUUUUGUUUUUUAUGCAUCUUGGAAGAAAGUGGAUUGACCUUCAGUUGUGAAGUCUAUGAGCAAAACUUUUACAUAUGCCCUAUCUCAGUUACAGCUUUGGAAGUGUAGCUAAAUAUGUUGCAAGCAAACAAAAAAAUAUAUAUUUAUCUGUGCCUUUGUAAUAGGAUCCUCAUGGGGCUCUGAUCGUUAGACUGUGAUAUAGCAACAUCUGGAAAACAUUAGGGAAAUGCCCCAGGAAAAGGCUCUCUCUCUCAGUGGCUUAAUUUUCAAAGAGCAUACAAAAGGCUCAAUGGCUGUAAGAAUCUAGCUUCAGUAUCUGUGUUCCUCUUACAUAAUUUGGACUGCUGCCAGUUUCUGAAGGUUAUCUUAAAAUGAAGAUCCUUUCAGAGGAAACAUUCAAAUACCUCAGAGCUUUAAGGAAAUACAUUGCAGAACCUCCCUUGGACAGUGCUAAUCAAAAACAGAAAUACAAUUAAGGAAGGAGCUUAUUGAAAUACUGAAUAUAAAACACAAUAGAGUGCAGAAUGUUCCAGUUCAGGAAAAUAAAAUUAUCUACUUCACUGAAUAACAAGAUAAAUCAAUUUUCACUGAAGAGAAUAUAUAUAUUUCUAAUAAACAGACAUAACAAACCAAUAGAGAGUUUGAAAGCUUGGUCUUAUGUCAGUUUUUACCUGGAACAAAAUUAAGGAGAGGAUUAGAGAUCUGUAGGGCUGAAAAGUUAGGAGUCCUGCUGUUGUUAUGAGUCAAUGAAUGUUAACAUUGUUAAGGAAUCAUAGGAUUAUAGAAUGCCUUGGUUCAGAAGAGGCCUUAAACAUCAUCUAGUUCCAACCCCCCUGCUGUUGGGAGGAUUACCACCCACUAGAUCAGGCUGCCCAGAGCUCCAUCAAACUUGGAUGAUAAAUAGCACAAUAUGAUUUUAAGUAAUCAGCAGCUGGGCUUCUUUCUGCAUUGAAGGAGACAAAUCUUUGAGGAAUAUGGUUUUCCCUCUUAGAGAUGACUUCUUACUGGGACAUCUAAACAGUUUUGACAUUGACAUUAUUGCUAAAAUCUAAAGAUGGUUGAGGACAUGAUAGAUUUGACUGCGAAAGAGCUGUUUUGCCAAGCAGCAAAAAAUUUGCAAGAAAAUCUUAGACUGCUUCCAUUUUUUUUUUCUUUUUUGAGAUUGUAUUAGGGAUCACUCUAUUAGUCUUUGAAAGUCAUAAAAAGAUAGGUGUCAAUGCAGUUUUUUUAGAGUAGGGCAGAUUUCCUGCAGAAAUGAAUAUCUUUUUUUUUUUUUUUUUUCCUCUCUAGGCUCUUUCUUCAAACAAGGAGCAAAAAAGCUACAUUGCACUGAUUGGAAAAAACAAAUCUUAUUUUCCAUGUCUGUGCCCUGAACAAAAAAAGAAGUAGAUGAAAGGAUGGUGUUGUAACAGAUCAGGCUUCAUACCACAUCAGAGUUUAUCAAGAAAAUGACAUACAGACAUAAUAGUUGCAGGAUAGCAACUCAUAGGUCAAGAAAAAACAGAAAGGUAAUUUCAUUUGCUCCAGAUCUCCAGAAAGUCUUUAAGAAUUGGUAAGAACCUGGUGGCAGCAAACCACCAGACAUACUUGUUUGUCAAGGAACAAAGCUCUCAUAAUAUGAUGGGCAAUGUCACAAAAAAGCAUGAAAUUCUUAUGUAGAAUGAAUUAGUCUUCAAAAGAGGCAGGCAUCUGAUCAAACAUCUAAUUGUUAAUCAGUUGUCAAGCAAUUUCACUACUCCUACUAAAUUCAAAAUCAUAUUAUGACUAAUUUCAGCCACAUACCAUCUGCAAAGCAGCCUGAAUACUUUGCUUCCAUUCUGGCCUGUACACUAACAACAGAUAAUUAUUAAACGGCGUAAUGACCUGCUAAGAAUACUGUGGAAAACCCGCUGUAGUACUGGUUUAUUGGAAUUCAUUAGAGAAUGAUAUUUGAAAUCAGCUGGGUUACUAACACUAGCCAAAUAUCUGGUUUUAUGUGUGGGCUUAUCUCUCCAUAAUCACUCCCACAUGGACUAAAGUUUGUGUUUAGUUCUGACAGUAGAAGUAAAAGAGAAGCUAUCACUGGUAAUAACAAUUCUAGUCACGUACUGGACCAGGUUCAUUCCUGAAAUAAUUCUAGUCGAAGGUGUUCAGACUACUAUAUGCAUUAAUUUAAUCUACUAGAUUUGCCCAUUGCAUGCUAUCUUGGGUCAUCCUUAUAUUCUCACUAACCAGCAAUGGAUGUAACACACUGUUAGGAAAACACUUGCUUAUAGCAGUGACGUCACCGCAAAGUGAAAACAGAUGCUAACUAAAUUCUAAUAUGCGCAAGAAAGUGUGUUGGCAGCUGCAACAAAUAUCACAGUAACUGUGGAAUUCUCAUAUUGCAAUGUCUGACAAUACAAAGCAUAAGAAGCAACUAGAAAUCUAAAAGAAAACUGAAGGUGCCACCCCUAAAGAGGAAAUCUACAGAACAACAUUCUACAAUCUACAUCAAAUCUACAACAUCAUUAAAAAAAACAACACAGAAAAAUGUAUAGAAAAUUCCACCAGGUACCUCAUAUCACCACUUUUUCUCAUAUGCAGCGAGAAAAAUACUCACACCUCACCUCAUCCAUCUGAAUAGAGCUCAGUAAGAACUCUGAUCUGAAGGAUGAAUGAACCUUUGAACAAGUCAAGUCAUUUGAGAAAUGCAGAGAAACUUACCAUGAUGCAAAAGAUCAAGUGUCACUGCAUGCACAUCUCUCAUUGCCCUAUUGUACCCUAAACUAAAAAUUUAGUGUGAAAAAUCUUAGAGUUACAGUCUAAGCUAGAAAGAAACAUCAUAUUGUGCAAGAAUUUUGCCCAGAAACUCCACUCAUUGCUCUUAAGUAAAGUUUAGAGACUUGGCUGUCUUGAUUGCCAGCAGCAAAUUUUCUUUAGGAUAUCAUACAUCAGACCAUUUUGAGGCAAAACCACUUCCAGUUUGUCAACAAAUUUCCUGCAGUAAAGGCUACAGAGGAAUCAAAUUGUUAUGCAAGUCAUCCCAUGCAUCAAAUGUCCUUAUAACAAUUACCUCUGUGGAGUCGAAGACUGAAUACAUGCUAAACUGAGCUCAUCCAGGCAAUAGAGAUCACAUCCAACCAGUUUUUUGCACUGUUUUCAUGGAGCAAUGGUGUCAUGUUUGAGUAGUGAGCUCUUUGGCAACCUGCAAACAAACUACAGAGUCAGGGUGGGGGUUACACUCAACGACCCGUUUCUUGCUUAAGUGUAGCAGAGCUAAGAGAUGCCGCCUUUCUAAGACAAUACUAUCUUCUCCCUUCCCUCUCCUGUCAGCUUCUCACUUCGCUAUUGCUGAUUAUUACUGUCUCUCUUCACCUCAUAGGGCCUAACUAACUUAUUUCCAGCAUUCUAGGAGAUUCCUUUAUUUCUAUGAAGUCACACACUUUCUCCUCCCCACAGCAAGUGUUCUCCCUGGUCAAGGAACUUUUUUUUGCUUCUACGGCAGGUCAACAUAUAAAAAUAAGUAGGUCCCACCCACCCAGACAGUAGGUCAACACAUAAAAGAAAUAGGUUCUACCCACUCAGGAAAAAAAAAAAAAAAAAGCAUGCUGAAAUAUUUCUUCUCUCAGUAAGCCAUAAGAGAACCUAUAGACUCUAGUUUACUUUUACACUAAAUCUGUUCACAUUUGAAACAACAAAGGCAGUAGCAAUUAUAUGCUGCUUGAGUUUUCAAACCACUGCCUCUGUCUUGUAACUCCAACAAACAGAUAUUUAAUCUCUAUUGAUCUGUUUAGCUAACCCUUCCAGCACGUGCGCUUGGGUACACAGUGUCUAUUAUAUUCACUUAGAUUUCUAGUGCUUGUUCUGGAGUGCUUUUUACAAACACAGCAGUAUCUCUUGUGGUUUUAAUCAAAGACAUUUGCAUGGCAUGACCCACUUAGAUCUGCAGCUAAUGCUGUGAACUAUUUUAUUUUUUCAAGUAUCAAGGCUAUGCAAUUACUGAAUGGUAAGCUCACCUAUAUCACUAAACACCUGCCAAGAAGAAUAUUGCAAAAAAAUCUCAAGACAUACAAGCUGGGCUGAAGAAGCAAUAGUAAGUAUGUAGCACAAAACUGGAUGAAAAACAGAUACAUAAACAUUUCCAUCUGUAAUCUCUCUGACACAUGGAUUAUUGCUGAAGUUUAAAUUCUGAGAUUCAACAUCUUAGCAUUUAUCCACUUCUAACAUGGAUCUUCUGAAAUCUUGCCAAGGGAAUGCCAGCUAAGUCUAACUGUCCUCAUAUCUCUUUAAGAUAUGCACAAACAGUAAAACCAUAGAAGAGUGAAACAACUUCCAAAAAGGAUUCCAGGUCAUUGAGUCUGACUGGAAAUAGUGUGAAGCAUAUCUGGCCAUAUUAGUUAUUCCAGAGUCUAUUCACAGAAACAGUAUUGUCUGAUUGCAAGACGUCUUGUCAAAUCUUUGCAUAAUCACAACCCAUCAGCAGGACAAAGCAAAUGAAGUGCAAAUAUUAGAAGAUGAAACAAUUACUUUUCGUUGAAUACAGAGGAAUGGUAAUUAUGAUCUGAUUUUGUUUCCUUUUUAAUAGCUUUAUGUCAUCUACUUCCACCAUGUGCGCCUUUGGUUGGGAAAUUUUAUGAUUAAAAUUAAUCUACUUCUGGUCUACAAGGUCUUUUCAGUAAUGUAUUAUUGGAAAGUCUCAUUUUGAUGAUUUAUUAAUCUAAUGUAUCAUUAUAGAACUGUCAUGCCAUACAGUUCUGUUCUUUCUUACUGUCAGGUACUUUGGUGACAGUCUUCCUGAACGUGCUUCUGGCCAGCAGUCAUUUCUAGAAAUAUGUUAAAUGCAAUAAAUAAUAAGAUAAAAUAAGGAAUAGCUUCUUGAUGGAAAAAAAAAUAAUCUGAUACUAAACACAGCAUUUUGACACUACUUCUAGAGCAGUGUUUCCUUUGCUGGCUAUCAUUCUUCCUGGGAAGUUAACAGAAGCUUUAGGAUUAAGACUAAUCAAGAAAGAUGGUAACUUACAGCCAAGGUGGCCAAACACUGUAUUCCUUAUCUCCUUUCUAUUAUUCCUCUCUUCUCUACAAGUGCAAAGUAUGCUUUUCUCAUCAAGGGUUUACUCCUAGCAAGUCAGGACAGCUGCUCCUAGUAGAGCACUAUAUAUAUACAUAUAUAUAUAUACUAUAUUCCUAUGAACACUGAAUCUUGUUAAAUGGUAAAUUGUUAAAACUCCAUUUAGGGACUCCUAGGUGAAGGUUGUUUUGCAAUGAACUGUUUUGGGCACUGAUCAGAACAACAGCAUUCUUAUGCUUCCUCAAAAACUUAAAAUACCAGAAAGCACAGAAUUUACUAAGAAGGAAAGGACACUAAGCCAGAACUUGGUGAGAAAUCUGUGCUACCACUAUCCUGUCACAAAACAACUGUAUGUCAUGUGAUCACGGAGUGCCAUUGCACAGAAAUGUAGGACAAGUCAGAUGGUAAGACUACAGGAAAAAAAAAACAAAACACAGAAAACAUCAAGAAAGCAUUUGUGUUGCAGCUAGAAAAUAGCAAGCAGGUUAUCAACUAACAGAGACAAUUUCUAUGCCUAUGUUUUGACUAAAAAGUUCUAAUUUUCUAUGUUAUCAAAAAGCGUGGGCUGGUAUUGCUGUAAACCUUUUAGGUAGAAAAAGAUAUAGAACAAGUAAACUUAAUUUAUCUUAUAAAUAAGUAACAAUUCCCAUCACCGCAUUCAGUAAAUGUUCUGCAGUGAGAAAACUCUCAGGAUUUCCAGGUAAAUACAGAAUACUAAGUAACAAAGACAAUAGGACCUCACCUCAAAUCACUGAAGACAGUGAAAUAAAAAAGCCAAUCAGCUUCAGUGACCCCAGGAUCACUAACAAAAUACCUAAAUUUGAUACUAUUAAAACAGAGUAUUUGGAAUAGACCCCCUGUGUUGGGACUCACAGAGUGAAAACUAUUAAUAAUACUAAUUUUUAAUAUUUGGAGAUGUUUUCAUUUUUUUUUUUUUUCAAAUAUGCCCAAUUAAAAUUUCCCUUCAUUAUCUCCCCCCCCACCCCCACCCCCCCCAAUUCCCCCAGGUAUAAAGAUGUAUUUCCUAAAAUCUUUUUGGUCAGCUGGCUGAAUACUGCCCCAAACUGUCUCCAUAUGUUUUAUUGCUCUGUUUUGGUAGUGUACAGCUUUUCAGCAGUUUUGAAGGUAGAAGUUAAUUUAAAAAGUUCUCACAUCAAAGAACAGUAGAAGUAAGUGUAGUGAUAUACACUGGCUGCAGUCAGUGUCACUGGGCAGUUUUUUGUGCUGGCUUCAAAUAUUAAAGGUACUGUUUGUGCACUUGCAGGUUCCAGAAGGAGUGGAUUUGAAUGGUCAUUAUUGUUUUCAAGUUGGAAGGAACCCAUGUGGAUCUUUAUCAAACAGCUCUGUAACUGAAAGAAACAUAAAUACUGGAGAUGUAAAAAAAAAAAAAAAAGCAUAAUUUAAAAAAAUAAAUAAUCAGUAAGUGAAUCAAAACAGACUGUCAGAAAUGGAUGGGCAACUUCCACAGUUGUAUUGAAUUCGCUAUGCAGUUACCUUGUUUUUAAAGAAACAUUUCCUAGGUUCAGCCUUCUUGGGAUGCUGUAAACACCUGAGGUAAUUCAGUGGUUUGCAUAUAUCAAGGGACAAGUUUCACUUCCGUGGAAUUUAAGAGGGAAACUCCCAUUAACACACAGAAAAUUACAAAUGAAAUUUCAAGAAAGCUUAUAAAUCCAGUGGGUCAAUUUAGGUGCAUUUGUUCCCCCCAGACAAGAAGCAAAACUUUGAGGACAACUUUCCCACAUGCUCCCAACAUAGGAAUUAUCCAGAAGUGGUGAGUUAAUCAUAAAGCAAUUGGAUACUUUCACACAGUUUCUUAAUGUAUUUGAUCCACUAAGUUUCCCAAUCAAUUUCUUUUAGCACCUGAAAUGCAUAUAGUUCAUCUACCACUUAGAAAAUACAAAGGUUUUAGGAACUUUUUCAAACAUAUACUUUGGUAUUUAUACCAAGAAGUCAAAAGGAGCAGAGAGAACUUCUCCAGGUUGUGUUAAGAGAGCUAGCUGCCUUUGUAGCGUUAACAGUGGUAACUCAUAUACAGAAAAUGUAUUUGUGUCCAGUGGCAUUUCUAUAUAUCAAUAUUCAUUCAGAAGAAAGAAUACAAACAAAAAGCUGCACUCAGGAGAAGGAUUGAUGAGAGCCUGUAUAUAGUUACGUUAACUUCUAUAUCCUGGAACAGAUCUAAGCAUUUCAACGUCCUCAGUAUUCCUGUUGGUAACUGAGAAAGUUCUCUGCAAGUGAGAUAGAGAAUCCGACUGUUAGGUGCCUAGUUAGCUAGAAUGCCUCCCCAGAGCACUACAUAAUUAAGGGAGGAAAAGAGAGGCUGCAAUUCAUGAUCCUCACUUUCUUUGGCUACCACAUUGCUAAGUGGAGUUUAGGGUACCUAAUGCCGUGAAAUACCUGGCUUUCAAAGUGUCAAUUCCCUGAAUAAAUCAGUCUGAAAGAGAGCAUGUAACCAAUGUCACCUCCAAAUUACACUCUAAAUAUCCAGUUAAAUGAUCAAUUAAGUAAUGUUCCACAUUAAGGAACAGAAAGGAAGGGGCACAACAAUAAAUUUCACAAAUACAGGAAGUGGUGCCUGGGAAGGAUUGCCCACAUUAAAAAUUUACCAUCUAAUCCUCUGUCUGCUUGCCUCCCCUGACCAUGGCUGUUUUAUGGUUCAGUGUUUGGAAUACCAACAAGAAAAUCUUCAAAUUUCUAUUGCAGACCAUAACAACUUGGUUAUUUCUGAGGCACAUAAUGUUCAUUUACGUCUAUCAUUUCCAAUUCUCAUGCUACGAUUCACGCGCAUUCCCUUUUCUUUUUGAUAAUAGUAAGAAUAAAGACUUGCAUCUGAAAAGCUGUUCUGAAAGGCAGGCAACAAAUAGUAGAGGAUUCCCAAGCUGGACAGAAAGCAGAAUUUACUCAAGACACAGAUGUAACAACACCAGAUGUGUAGGUGUCUGGUCUAGUAUUAGAUAUGGAGGCUGGCAGCCCUGCCUGUGGCAGGAGGGAUGGAGCUUGAUGAUCCUUGAGGUCCCUCCCAACCCAAGCCAUUCUGUGAUUCUAUGAUCCAUCUUCAUAUUUUGUUUUUGAAGUUCUGAGCAAUAAAAGUUGUUUGUAAAACUA